rnacentral:rRNA from 1 species
GAUUAUGACGUACUUGUACUGAUUGAGAUUUUAACACGAAGUGAGUGGCGAACGGGUGAGUAACACGUGGGUAACCUGCCCAGAAGUAGGGGAUAACACCUGGAAACAGAUGCUAAUACCGUAUAACAGAGAAAACCGCAUGGUUUUCUUUUAAAAGAUGGCUCUGCUAUCACUUCUGGAUGGACCCGCGGCGUAUUAGCUAGUUGGUGAGGUAAAGGCUCACCAAGGCAGUGAUACGUAGCCGACCUGAGAGGGUAAUCGGCCACAUUGGGACUGAGACACGGCCCAGACUCCUACGGGAGGCAGCAGUAGGGAAUCUUCCACAAUGGACGCAAGUCUGAUGGAGCAACGCCGCGUGAGUGAAGAAGGGUUUCGGCUCGUAAAGCUCUGUUGUUAAAGAAGAACGUGGGUAAGAGUAACUGUUUACCCAGUGACGGUAUUUAACCAGAAAGCCACGGCUAACUACGUGCCAGCAGCCGCGGUAAUACGUAGGUGGCAAGCGUUAUCCGGAUUUAUUGGGCGUAAAGCGAGCGCAGGCGGUCUUUUAAGUCUAAUGUGAAAGCCUUCGGCUCAACCGAAGAAGUGCAUUGGAAACUGGGAGACUUGAGUGCAGAAGAGGACAGUGGAACUCCAUGUGUAGCGGUGAAAUGCGUAGAUAUAUGGAAAGAACACCAGUGGCGAAGGCGGCUGUCUGGUCUGCAACUGACGCUGAGGCUCGAAAGCAUGG